rnacentral:rRNA from 1 species
CAGGCUUAACACAUGCAAGUCGAGGGGCAGCAUUUCAGUUUGCUUGCAAACUGGAGAUGGCGACCGGCGCACGGGUGAGUAACACGUAUCCAACCUGCCGAUAACUCGGGGAUAGCCUUUCGAAAGAAAGAUUAAUACCCGAUGGUAUAAUCAGACCGCAUGGUCUUGUUAUUAAAGAAUUUCGGUUAUCGAUGGGGAUGCGUUCCAUUAGGCAGUUGGUGAGGUAACGGCUCACCAAACCUUCGAUGGAUAGGGGUUCUGAGAGGAAGGUCCCCCACAUUGGAACUGAGACACGGUCCAAACUCCUACGGGAGGCAGCAGUGAGGAAUAUUGGUCAAUGGGCGCAGGCCUGAACCAGCCAAGUAGCGUGAAGGAUGACUGCCCUAUGGGUUGUAAACUUCUUUUAUAUGGGAAUAAAGUUUUCCACGUGUGGAAUUUUGUAUGUACCAUAUGAAUAAGGAUCGGCUAACUCCGUGCCAGCAGCCGCGGUAAUACGGAGGAUCCGAGCGUUAUCCGGAUUUAUUGGGUUUAAAGGGAGCGUAGGUGGACAGUUAAGUCAGUUGUGAAAGUUUGCGGCUCAACCGUAAAAUUGCAGUUGAUACUGGCUGUCUUGAGUACAGUAGAGGUGGGCGGAAUUCGUGGUGUAGCGGUGAAAUGCUUAGAUAUCACGAAGAACUCCGAUUGCGAAGGCAGCUCACUGGACUGCAACUGACACUGAUGCUCGAAAGUGUGGGUAUCAAACAGGAUUAGAUACCCUGGUAGUCCACACAGUAAACGAUGAAUACUCGCUGUUUGCGAUAUACAGUAAGCGGCCAAGCGAAAGCAUUAAGUAUUCCACCUGGGGAGUACGCCGGCAACGGUGAAACCCAAAGGAAUUGACGGGGGCCCGCACAAGCGGAGGAACAUGUGGUUUAAUUCGAUGAUACGCGAGGAACCUUACCCGGGCUUAAAUUGCAUUUGAAUAAUCUGGAAACAGGUUAGCCGCAAGGCAAAUGUGAAGGUGCUGCAUGGUUGUCGUCAGCUCGUGCCGUGAGGUGUCGGCUUAAGUGCCAUAACGAGCGCAACCCUUAUCUUUAGUUACUAACAGGUCAUGCUGAGGACUCUAGAGAGACUGCCGUCGUAAGAUGUGAGGAAGGUGGGGAUGACGUCAAAUCAGCACGGCCCUUACGUCCGGGGCUACACACGUGUUACAAUGGGGGGUACAGAAGGCAGCUACCUGGUGACAGGAUGCUAAUCCCAAAAGCCUCUCUCAGUUCGGAUCGAAGUCUGCAACCCGACUUCGUGAAGCUGGAUUCGCUAGUAAUCGCGCAUCAGCCAUGGCGCGGUGAAUACGUUCCCGGGCCUUGUACACACCGCCCGUCAAGCCAUGAAAGCCGGGGGUACCUGAAGUACGUAACCGCAAGGAGCGUCCUAGGGUAAAACUGGUAAUUGGGGC